GUUGAAAUAGCUCAAUGGAAGAGCGACAGACUGAAAAUCUGGAGAUCUUGGUUGAAUCUCAAAGUUCAACA